AGUGCUUAAGUGAUCUGCUGCUUGUAAUCCAGGAUUUCAGUAUCCUAAUAGACCUGCCAGAACAAAAUGAACUUCAAACACAGUAAGAGAGAUCCUUGCACAUGUAACAUGUCAGUCCAUAUGCUUCAUCCCACCAGUGACAAUUAUUGGACCUUAGUCUCAUUCCUAACUUAAUUAUGAUAUUUAGCGCAACGCCCAGGUACAUACCAACUUCCUCAUUCUAAUUUUUAUUUUCUCUACUACCCUUAUUCAAUCAUUUUAAAUUUUCUAACUUGUUUAUUUGUUGAAAGUUGGUAGGGAAAAAAAAAAGCAGUUUCAAGACAUGCUUGAGCACUUCAAGUUGAAGACUGUGCAUUUGUGGUUCUUCUGCCUGCAAUAGGUAAUAUUAAGUUCACAAUAAUAAUCAUACUUGAAAGUAUUUGGAAGAGCAAGAUUUUCUUUAACUAGAUAAAAAACUAGUCAUAGUCAUAGAAGUAUUUUGUCCCUUUCUGCAUUUUAAGGCUUAGAGGCAUUUAUUUAAGACACUUUGAUUGAGUAAUCUAAGAAUUUAUUUACUGACUAAAUAAGAAAAGCAGAUUGAUUUCCAAAA